AGAAUCAACGCUGGCGGCGUGCCUAACACAUGCAAGUCGAACGCGAAAGGGGCGCAAGUCCUGAGUAGAGUGGCAAACGGGUGAGUAACACGUGGGUGACCUGCCUUCGAGUGGGGGAUAACGUUCCGAAAGGAACGCUAAUACCGCAUGACAUCCUGCGUUUGGAGACGCGGACAUCAAAGCUGGGGAUCGCAAGACCUGGCGCUCGGAGAGGGGCCCGCGGCUGAUUAGCUAGUUGGUGGGGUAAUGGCUCACCAAGGCGACGAUCAGUA
rnacentral:rRNA from 2 species